CAUGUACUCUCUCCGUUCGAAAAUACUUGUCCGAGAAAUGAAUGUAUCUAGAUGUAUUUUAGUUUUAGAUACACCAUUUCUAUCAUUUUUGCGACAAGUAAUUCCGGACGGAGGGAGUAUUUG
rfam:Hordeum vulgare subsp. vulgare, WGS project CAJW01000000 data, contig: morex_contig_5988